UACGGGGGGAGCAAGCGUUGUUCGGAUUUACUGGGCGUAAAGGGCGGGUAGGCGGCCAGCACAAGUCAGUUGUGAAAUCUCCGAGCUUAACUCGGAAAGGUCAACUGAUACUGUGCGGCUAGAGUGCAGAAGGGGCAACUGGAAUUCUUGGUGUAGCGGUGAAAUGCGUAGAUAUCAAGAGGAACACCUGCGGCGAAGGCGGGUUGCUGGGCUGACACUGACGCUGAACUGCGAAAGCUAGGGGAGCGAACGGG
rnacentral:rRNA from 1 species